UCGAGAAUAGUCUACAAUGGUCGAAAGACUGAUAGUGCGACGCCGCGUGAACGAAGAAUCCCUUCGGGGUGUAAAGUUCUUUUUUAAUCGAGCAAUGCCUUUUAUGUGAUAAGCAUGAGAGGAGAGAUAUUAGGUUAAGAAUAAGCAACGGCUAACUCCGUGCCAGCAGCCGCGGUAACACGGGGGUUGCAAGCGUUGUCCGGAAUUACUAGGCGUAAAGGGCAGGUAGGCGGAUAUAUAAGUUUUGUGUUAAAGGCAUCGGCUUAACCGGUGUAAGGCAUAGGAUACUGUAUAUCUGGAAUGCGGUUGAGGAAGACAGAAUUCCUGGUGUAGCGGUGGAAUGCGCAGAGAUCAGGAGGAAUACCAAAGGCGAAAGCGAUCUACUGGGCCUUAACAGACACUGAGACGCGAAAGCCAGGGUAGCAAACG
rnacentral:rRNA from 1 species